UUUUUAGGCCGUUUUUACACCCAAAAAUAAAGGGUUUUAAGGCUUGUAUGCAAGAUGGCCCGUCGUAUGAACCUGAUACGUUGCAAGCGUUUAACAAGAACGAUAACAAACUUCGAGCUAAUCCAGAAUCUUUGCAACCGUCUGUGGUCGAUCGUGAUAUGCAGGCACCGUUCAAAACGAAACGGAUUAUACCACAGACGUCUGCGGUAUCAGCAAACAGGUGGACACAGAAAAUUUGUGGAGUAUGUAAAAAAAAAAAAAAAAAAAGAUGUAUUUUUCCUGCAUUUUAGUGUAAUACCAUUUAUUCUCGGUUACGUAGUUUAUUUGUUACGAGUUUUUAAAAAGUUUCACGGAAUUAUGAAUAAACCUGUGUUAUUCCCUCUCCUAUAAAUAAAAAACUUCUCGGAACA